AAAACCUAAUGCUGCAGCAACAGCAUGCCGGCGGCACACCGGACUGGUUCCUCGACACGGGUGCUACGUCCCACGUCGCAGGUAACGCGAACACUCUCACCUCGUAUGGUUCCCCUCUUUGGGUCAUUCCUCUGGCAUCCUCAUCGGUGACGGCUCCCGCCUACCCAUCACCGCCGUCGGCUCCACCUCUCUCUCCAACUUCUCUCUCAAUGACGUGUUGAUCUCCCCCAAUAUGAUCAAAAAUCUUAUUGCAGUACGUCAUUUCACCAUAGACAACUAUUGCUCUAUUGCAUUUGACCCUUUCUGUUUUUCCGUGAAGGACCUAGCCACGGGGAGGGUGAUCAUGAUAUCAAAUAGCCAUGGGGAUCUCUACCCCUUCUUCAGCAACUCUGGUGUGCAGGCAGCCUUCUCCAUCACCUCUGACGAUCUAUGGCAUCUUCGCUUGGGUCACGCCAACAAUAACGUCGUCUACACCAUCGCUCGUAGUUUUCUUCUCAAUUGUAAUAAUAGUCCUAGUCAACAUGUUUGUAGUUCAUGUAAACUAGGCAAGCAGCCUCGGCUGCCCUUUCCCCAUUCCACCUCCAAGACUAGUGCAC
rnacentral:lncRNA from 1 species